GCAAGUCAAGGGGUAACAUUGGAGCUUGCUUCAGAUGACGACCGGCGCACGGGUGCGCACCGCGUAUGGCACCUACCUUUUACAGAGGGAUAGCCCAGGGAAACUUGGAUUAAUACCUCAUAGUAUCAUUAUACAUCAUUGUGUUUUGAUUAAAGACUUCGGUCGGUAAAAGAUGGCCAUGCGUCCCAUUAGCUUGUUGGUAAGGUAACGGCUUACCAAGGCUACGAUGGGUAGGGGCCCUGAGAGGGGGAUC
rnacentral:rRNA from 1 species